GUACUUUAGCAAGGCGUCUAUACCCACCCUGACAAUCCUGGAGUAGCUUUUGGCCACUUCUGUCAUGAUUGCAUAAGCAAUAUUAACCGUGGUCACGCUAUCCGCCUCGGGGUCACAGCCUGAGCACGACAGUUCCGGGGCACUGCUCCCUGGCAUCGGUACCCUUCUUCGCUUCGCUCGUCACGGCUUUUUGUCUGAGCGUCACUGGACGAGAGAAGUCUUGAGGCUCUGGUACCCAUACCCAAGGUAUGGAAUUGGCUUUGAUACCUGAAACCAGCGCAAUCUGCAGACAAGGUAGACGACCGCUUAAUUAGAUUAAAGAAGACUCCUCCUCCAGGCAGAGUUCCAUGAAACUUUUUCCUGAAGUCUUGAAAAGCCGCGAGAUGAUAAAUAAUAAUAUGCUGCUCUAUAACAUUAAACUGCCAUCCAGAUUCAGAGAUCAAUAUUCUAUACAGUUUGUCUGGUUAUCUAUGCGUCAAACUCCAGUCACGUGUUUUCACGCAAGCAGACACUGACUGACAGUGUAAUUAUGCGUAGGCUUUCUCAAAACAUUUUAGAUGUACGAAGUAGCUUUCUCGACCGGGGCAGCUUUUUUAUCUUUGAACUUGUCAAUCUGGCUAAUCCACCAAAUGUUCACGAGGUUAAUACACGUGAUGAAUGUAUUUCUGGCUGUGAUAUCCUUACAUAAUACGCACCCUGUUAAGAGCAUUUAGACACGUGUCCUCUCGUCUCGGUACCACCGAAAUACCCCGUACCCCUGCCCAGAUUGUUCUUCAAGAAAGAGAAAAACUUAUGCUAUAUAUACGGUCUUCAAAUAUCUUAGUCCUUAGCGAAAAACCUGCAAACAAACAAAUAGCACAGGAGACGAUGAUAAAUAAGAUUAAACCGAGAGAAACGAGUAGACGGUAGUCUCUCCAGGGGAGAAGAGGGACUGGCGUAUCAGUUUUCCUUGAGAAACUUAACUCAUGUUGUUUUCACUGGCUUACCUCUUGUUGUUUUCACAUGCUCUUGGUCAGUCUCCAGUCAACAGUAAUUAUUGAUCACCUCCUGUAAUUGUCUUUUAUUGUCUUAUAUUAUCCUAGAAUAAAGGUCACAAAGGUCACUAUUGCUUUGUGAUGUGUAUUUAUACAGAAUUAGCGGUAUUUCUAACGUUUGAGCAGUUGAAGAUAGGAUAUUAUAAGACAAUUAUAGAACAAUUACAGGUGAUCAAUCGUUACUGGCAUUGACUGGAGACUGACUGAGAAUUGAGAGGAUGUUUUAUCGGUUGGUUGAUCCAAUUGUUUUCGAAAUUAUCUGCUGUGUGCAAUAUUGAAGUAAUUAGCACUGCCCUAUUGCGUUAAAGUUGAAAUCGAACUGAUAGUUGCGUUACCAAUGUCUUACAAAUAUAAGGUAAAUAAUUGAGGAAAAGGCCGGGGUUUCGUAUUUUCGCUAUCUAUCUUUUUUUUACGAUGAUGAUAAAAGUAGUAUGUAUUUGUUAUGUCCAUGAGACUUGAUCUCCUUGGAUUGGAUCCAAGUGUGUGUUGUACUUUCGCCACGGGCGAUGGGAUAGUUGAUUGACGAAUGUAACCUUUGUAUUGUUUGUAUUUUGUUUAUAAAUAAAGUAAACGUGUUGUC